UGCCCAGACUCCUACGGGAGGCAGCAGUGAGGAAUAUUGGUCAAUGGCCGGAAGGCUGAACCAGCCAAGCCGCGUGAAGGACGAAGGUGCCAAGCAUUGUAAACUUCUUUUGUCAAGGGACAAAAUCAGGCUCGAGAGCCUGGCCGAGGGUACUUGAAGAAAAAGCAUCGGCUAACUCCGUGCCAGCAGCCGCGGUAAUACGGAGGAUGCGAGCGUUAUCCGGAUUUAUUGGGUUUAAAGGGUGCGCAGGCGGAGGUGCAAGUCAGCGGUCAAAUUGCGGGGCUCAACCCCGUACUGCCGUUGAAACUGGGUGCCUUGAGUGGGCGAGAAGUACGCGGAAUGCGUGGUGUAGCGGUGAAAUGCAUAGAUAUCACGCAGAACUCCGAUUGCGAAGGCAGCGUACCGGCGCCCAACUGACGCUGAAGCACGAAGGCGUGGGUAUCGAACAGGAUUAGAUACCCGCGUACUU
rnacentral:rRNA from 1 species